CCCUUAGAUGUUCUGGGCCGCACGCGUGCUACACUGAGUGGAUCAGCGGGUCAGGUUGCGCGAAAGCGUUUCCUAAUCUUUAAAUCCGCUCGUGAUGGGGAUUGACGGUUGCAAUUUUCUAUCAUGAACGAGGAAUACCUUGUAAGCGCGGGUCAUCAUCCCGCGCUGAAUACGUCCCUGCCCUUUGUACACACCGCCCGUCGCUCCUACCGAUUGAGUGGUCCGGUGAGGCUUUGGGAUCUGAGCGGAAAGAGCGUUUCGCUGUUUCUGCUCGGAAAACUCAGUCGAACCUUAUCAUUUAGAGGAAGGAGAAGUCGUAACA
rnacentral:rRNA from 1 species